GGUAAUGCUGUGCACUCUAGACAGACUGCCGUGGACAACACGGAGGAAGGUGGGAUGACGUCAAGUCCUCAUGGCCUUUAUGUCCAGGGCUACACACGUGCUACAAUGGGUGGUACAAAGAGCCGCGAACUCGCGAGAGCAAGCAAAUCUCAAAAAACCAUCCUACAGUUCGGAUUGGAGUCUGCAACUCGACUCCAUGAAGCUGGAAUCGCUAGUAAUCGCGGAUCAGCAUGCCGCGGUGAAUACGUUCCCGGGCCUU
rnacentral:rRNA from 1 species